rfam:Salmo salar isolate Sally breed double haploid chromosome ssa03, whole genome shotgun sequence.
UGUGUUCAUUACUGUAAGUCACUCUGGAUAAGAGCGUCUGCUAAAUGACUAAAA